rnacentral:rRNA from 1 species
UACGGAGGGUGCGAGCGUUAAUCGGAAUUACUGGGCGUAAAGCGUGCGCAGGCGGUUUGUUAAGCGAGAUGUGAAAGCCCCGGGCUCAACCUGGGAACCGCAUUUCGAACUGGCAAACUAGAGUCUUGUAGAGGGGGGUAGAAUUCCAGGUGUAGCGGUGAAAUGCGUAGAGAUCUGGAGGAAUACCGGUAGCGAAGGCGGCCCCCUGGACAAAGACUGACGCUCAGGCACGAAAGCGUGGGGAGCAAACAGG